rnacentral:rRNA from 1 species
UACAGAGGUCCCAAGCGUUGUUCGGAUUCACUGGGCGUAAAGGGUGCGUAGGUGGCAGGGUAAGUUUGAUGUGAAAUCUCCGAGCUUAACUCGGAAACUGCAUUGAAUACUAUCCUGCUCGAGGUUUGGAAGGGGGACGUGGAAUUCUCGGUGUAGCAGUGAAAUGCGUAGAUAUCGAGAGGAACACCAGUGGCGAAGGCGAGUCCCUGGACAAACACCGUGACACUGAGGCACGAAAGCUAGGGGAGCAAACAGG